UUUUAUGAGAGUUUGAUCCUGGCUCAGGACGAACGCUGGCGGCGUGCCUAAUACAUGCAAGUCGUACGCUUCUUUUUCCACCGGAGCUUGCUCCACCGGAAAAAGAAGAGUGGCGAACGGGUGAGUAACACGUGGGUAACCUGCCCAUCAGAAGGGGAUAACACUUGGAAACAGGUGCUAAUACCGUAUAACAAUCGAAACCGCAUGGUUUUGAUUUGAAAGGCGCUUUCGGGUGUCGCUGAU
rnacentral:rRNA from 1 species